UACGUAGGGGGCAAGCGUUGUCCGGAAUCAUUGGGCGUAAAGAGCGUGUAGGCGGUCCGGUAAGUCGGCUGUGAAAGUCCAGGGCUCAACCCUGGGAUGCCGGUGGAUACUGUCGAGCUCGAGUCCGGAAGAGGCGAGUGGAAUUCCUGGUGUAGCGGUGAAAUGCGCAGAUAUCAGGAGGAACACCAAUGGCGAAGGCAGCUCGCUGGGACGUGACUGACGCUGAGACGCGAAAGCGUGGGGAGCAAACAGG
rnacentral:rRNA from 1 species